rnacentral:rRNA from 1 species
CCCUUAGAUGUUCUGGGCCGCACGCGUGCUACACUGAGUGGAUCAGCGGGUCAGGUUGCGCGAAAGCGUUUCCUAAUCUUUAAACCCGCUCGUGAUGGGGAUUGACGGUUGCAAUUUUCUGUCAUGAACGAGGAAUACCUUGUAAGCGCGGGUCAUCAUCCCGCGCUGAAUACGUCCCUGCCCUUUGUACACACUGCCCGUCGCUCCUACCGAUUGAGUGGUCCGGUGAGGCUUUGGGAUCUGAGCGGAAAGAGCGUUUCGCUGUUUCUGCUCGGAAAACUCAGUCGAACCUUAUCAUUUAGAGGAAGGAGAAGUCGUAACA